rnacentral:rRNA from 1 species
UACGGAGGGUGCAAGCGUUAUCCGGAUUUACUGGGUUUAAAGGGUGCGUAGGUGGGCAGGUAAGUCAGUGGUGAAAUCUCCGAGCUUAACUCGGAAACUGCCAUUGAUACUAUCUGUCUUGAAUUAUCUGGAGGUGAGCGGAAUAUGUCAUGUAGCGGUGAAAUGCGUAGAUAUCUGGAAGAACACCAGUGGCGAAGGCGGUCAACUGGCCCAUAACUGACGCUCAGGCACGAAAGCGUGGGUAGCGAACAGG